AGAAUAAAUAAAUAAAUAAUAGAUUAGUAAAUAUUGGGUUAAAAAUAUAGAGUUCAUAAAUACAUACAUUUCUAGCAAAAAUAGUUUAAUAUGAAAGUUUUAAUUUCCGGUAUUUCAUGUAUAUUAUUUGUUGUGAUAUGGGGGAACCAAAGUUUGCUGCUGCGUGUUGACGGGGUGUUAACUUUUGAGUGUUGCUACCUGUUUAUUAAGAACAUUCUGGAUCGAGCUACAAGGCAGACACCUCGUUGAUUCCUCUGGCUGGACUUCAAUAAUAAUUAAAGAAGACUGAAUAACAUGCAAAGUGCAUUGAAGGACAGAAGAUUUUAAUUUUCUCUCAAGCAAAGCGGCCAAUGAGUUCUCACGGCACACUAUCAUGCUCCGUGUGAUUAAAGCCCGUAACUUUCAAGAACGACUUGGUUUCGUGAUUUGGACUUGAGGGGGAAUUACAGUGAGAACUCAGCCACCGCGACGCGAGGGGAGAGCGUGACCAGCAGCAGCAAGGAGCCAGUGCGCGCGCCCGUCUCUCGUCGUCGGAGCUGUGAAGAUGUUCGAGGUUUGGGAGGAGCCACUCGUCAAAGGACAGUAUGCAACCUGCCAGUAACCUAAGACAGUUGUGUGGUUAUGCCAACGUGAAGCACGUUUGAGCCAAGUUAAAUGUGAAGACGUAGAGUAGCCUUUACAACUGCUAAAGAAGAA